rnacentral:lncRNA from 1 species
UGUACCUUUUCACAGCUACGUGGCGAUAGUGUUUCGAGAUCUAUAAAUCGAUCAAAUUUUUAUUUCGAUGAAAGAUCGACGAAAAUAACCUAAUAUUUAUGAAUGAAAGUGUACAUAUGACAACCAGGUUAUGUAGAGAAAUAUGUUUAAGCGAUUGGUGCCUGUGUUAUUUAAUGACAGUUAAUUGUAUUAAUUCAGAUAAUCUUCAUUAAGACAUCGAUAAGAUAAGCUUUGGUAAGAUUUUGAUAAGCUAUGUCUUUCUCUGGACUUUGUUGUGAAAAGAAAUAUUUAAUUGACUCGUAUAAAGGAAUAUUCUCAGUUAAUUUAAAUACACUUUAUGUCAUAACAAUUAAUUAAUUAAUCGAUAUAAGCUGUAUUAAGUCUUCAAUAAGAUGUUCUCGUGAAAAGAAAUACUUAAUCACGCCAUGUAAAGGCAUAAGACCCAUAGAAGCAUAAAGGCACGAUGAACUGAGAGCGUGGAGUAGAAGUCGGAGAUUAACGACGCGAAGGAAAAGCCGUGUUUCCAAAUGACUGCGUUGCAACGGGGAUUUACUACAUUUGCUGCAUCUAUAAUUAUAGGUAAUAAAGUCAGAGACGUGGAAACCAGAGCAGCAUCGGACUGUUGCACGAAAAUAUUCGUUAUCGAGGCGGCUGCAAAAAUUGCUUCCAGAAACUCGUGGCUGCGCCUCUUUCCGAGUAUAAACCUACCGAUUUCUCGCACCAUUUUAAUACCAACGCUUCCUAAUAGGAGAGCUCGCGUUAUUAUCGAAAGUCAAACUUUCUCGUGCGUCUCUUUACUUGUUUCGUUGAAUAGAAGCUAUAUAACAGGGAAUUCCUAAUUGAACUAAAAAUUAAAAUUUUCCGCGUGAUCAAUUAGCGUAAAAUGAAAGUCUGUGGCUCUUCCAUCUGAUCCUGAUUAUUGCUUCUUCUUAUCUUUGCUAAAUAUAGUUUAUGCUCGUGCAAACUAAUGCAAUUAGCUUCACUCUUUGAACGACUCACUUCUUGAGGAUGACAUGUAAAUAAUAACAACCUCUAGGGUGAAUUGAAGAAAUGGUGUUCGUGAAAAAUCAGAAUUUAAUUGUAUUAUUUAUAUAAAAUUAUCUUCUGAUAAUACGGGAUAUCUAGGUUAUUUAUAAACCACGGUAUCGAACGAGAUAAUAAUAGAAAGAUAAUAAUCUAUUAGUUAUAACCACUAUUAGUAUAACCAUUGUUAGACAUAAAUAUCCAACGAUCUGUUUUCCUAAUUUAUCUCACUGUCGCAAAGAUCUCUCAAUGGAGGAAUAAAAAUUAUUGUAAAAUAGGAAAAGAGAGGAGAAUUCAAAACAUCAAAAUUUCCGAUUAUAUCCAUUCAUUGGUCUCGAAUGGCAUAGCUCAUGAUUAUUCGAGCGGUGCUAGAAAAUGUCACGAACAUAUGGGGAACGAUUAUUUAGAAGGAACGACACGAUGAAAGAAGUCAGCUUAUUUUUUAUUCACCAUCCCCACAGGGACAAUUCUCUGUCGAUAUUUAUCGAACAUGUUUCUUACGACGUAGAAAAAGUCACGAUUAAAAUUAUUGUUCUUAGAAAAGGAAUUCCCUGACGGGGAAGCAGAUAAAUGUUUUUGCAAGGGUCUCCACGGGAACCCGCGCGACCGUGUAAAAUUUUAUUUUAAUCGUUUGUUUGUAGAUAAUUCCAACAUCGAGGAACACCGUCAUCGCGUGGCUUUUAUUUAUUAAUUAUUUAUUAAUUAUUCCACCGGGUGCAUCUUGUCUAAUUGACGAGAUAAUUAUUCAUACCGGUUAAAUUGUGUGAAAUUAUGAAAUUAUGCGAAACGUGAUCAUUUUUACGCAAUUAUUAAGAACUUUUUAUUCGUAAUAGUUUCAGAAAAUACGAUGUAUAUAGGAUCAUUUAGUAUAUAUAAUCUUUGCAUAUUUUCCGAUCUAAUCACUUUUUCCUUUCUUUUAAAAGGUAUCUUAAUUUUGGGACGAACCUUCGUUUAAUGUAUAGUUAAUUACAGCUUUUUCAUAUUAUUUUUUCCAAGACAGAAAAUUUCUUAAUGGAAAAAUUGAGUCGGACUAAAGAUGGACCAAGAUUUCGUAUUAUUAUUUAAUUUAAAAAUAUCCAGGAGCAAAAAAUAUAGAAAGGUAAUAUACCAUACACAAUAUUAAUCUCAUGUCAUCUUUUUCUUUUAUCAUAAUUGUUUCCUCUGAGGUCAAUCCAUCCGCAAGGUUUUGCGAUGAAAGCGUGUCGCGCUCGUGCAAACGAUUAAUUCUAUUCCCAGUGGUAUGAAACUUGCGGUGAGCUCCAUUAUUACGGCAAACAUAGUAUUUUCCACGGUGGAAAAUCCCUUAGGAGGUAUUUUUCACGGAACUAUAGAACCUUAAUUUCCAUAAAAGGAAAUUCUGAAGCUUGACAUCGAUUUCAAGGUGCAUUUCUCAAAGAUGGGACUUCGGAAACCCCUGAAUAUGCCUGUCUAAUGAAAUGUAACAGAAAUCUACACAAUAUUAGGGUGAAAAUCAUGAGGCUAACGUGGUUGUUUUGUUAUGCUAAUAUAACGUGGCUUGACAUCGUGUUUCAAUUGAUUUUUCUUCGCGGACUGAGGAUAUUAUCGAAUAAUAAGAUCAAUAUCAAACAAUGAUUAUUUCGAUUAUUAUCCACUGCAUGCCAUUCUAUACAACGUAGCA